CUGAAUGCCAGAUUUUCCCACUUGGUAAUCAGGACAGAUCACAGACGGCUGAUCAUGGAGCUUGUGCUGAGCUGGGUCUUCCUCCUUACUGUUUUCAAAGGUGUCCAGGCUGAGGUGCAGCUGGUGGAGUCCAGGGGAGGUUUGGUUCAGCCUGGAGGUUCCCUGAGACUCUCCUGCGUGGCCUCAGGAUUCAACUUCGGGGGCUAUACCAUGGACUGGGUCCGCCAAGCUCCGGGGAAGGGGCUGGAGUUGAUCUCCUACAUCAGUAGUAAUGGUGGUUACCUAGACUACGCAGACUCUGUGAAAGGUCGGUUCAUGAUCUCUAGAAAUAAUGGCCAAAACACAGUGUAUCUGCAAAUGAACAUCCUGAGAACAGAUGAUACAGCCGUGUAUUACUGUGCGAGACACACAUUGAGGGAACAUCAGUGUGGGGCCAGACACAAACUUUCCUGCAGGGGCGCUCAGAACCAGCAGGGGUAG